AGUGAACGCUGGCGGUAGGCCUAACACAUGCAAGUCGGACGGCAGCACAGUAAGAGCUUGCUCUUACGGGUGGCGAGUGGCGGACGGGUGCGGAAUACAUCGGAAUCUACUUUUUCGUGGGGGAUAACGUAGGGAAACUUACGCUAAUACCGCAUACGACCUACGGGUGAAAGCAGGGGAUCUUCGGACCUUGCGCGAUUGAAUGAGCCGAUGUCGGAUUAGCUAGUUGGCGGGGUAAAGGCCCACCAAGGCGACGAUCCGUAGCUGGUCUGAGAGGAUGAUCAGCCACACUGGAACUGAGAAACGGUCCAGACUCCUACGGGAGGCAGCAGUGGGGAAUUUUGGACAAUGGGCGCAAGCCUGAUCCAGCCAUACCGCGUGGGUGAAGAAGGCCUUCGGGUUGUAAAGCCCUUUUGUUGGGAAAGAAAAGCAGCAGGUUAAUACCCCGCUGUUCUGACGGUACCCAAAGAAUAAGCACCGGCUAACUUCGUG
rnacentral:rRNA from 1 species